AUCAAAUCGAUAUAAACUUUAUAUCAAUUGGAUAUAAACUUUAUAUCAAAUCGAUAUAAAGUUUAUAUAAAACCCCUCCUGCAUUCCGAGUCACAAGUGUCUGCAUUCCAAGCGACGAGUCUCUGCAGCUCCGUGAUCCUUCCUGAGUGCCUGCCUGCACGAGAGGGAGGGAGACCGGAUACCCUUUUUAUGACGGGUCCAAUCCCCCUUCCCUUGAUCCACCCCUCCGAGCUCUUCUGGACAAGGAUGGUGGGAUUAAUAGGAAAUAAAAUAAUUCAAUGGUUAUUCCUUAAUUAGACUUUAUUUCAUUACACUGUAAAUAUCCAUUUGCCAGAUCAGAAGGCCUGGGGGUAGAGAAAGAAAAAAGCAGUUAGUCCCCCCUCUGCUUUUGAUGCCUUCCGACACCCAGUUACUGACUGAUACAGACAGUAGCAGAAAGGAGAUCUAGUCUGUUUCCUAAGGGGCGCGAACAUUCCGACACCAGCGUAUUCUGCCGGAUCUGUACGUCUGAGGUGCAGAAAGAAAAAAAGCGGUGAGAUCCCCCAUCUGUUUGAUGCUCACACUUAACACUUACUGACUGAUGAUACCUUAAUGAUCUAGCUUGCGGGAAAGGAAGAAACCCGUCGUCUGUUCCUAAGGAGAGGCGAUCAUUCCAACACCAGUGGGCCUUCUGAUGGAGAAGCGAGCAUUUGAGAGUGCAGAAAGAAAAAGGUUAGUUAGAUCCCCCACCAACAACCAUCUACCGACGGAUACAGACCUUGGGAAAGGAAGCCUAUUGUAAACCCGGGUAACACCCCAUCAAUCGGGUACAACUUAUGUCCCCCCCCACCACCCGCGGUUUCUUGGUUAAAUACUAAAACGCCGACCAAGAGUCAAACAAGUCCAGACAUAUCCUCCAAGCUUCUAAGCGUCAUGUCGCUUUUUACCAACGGAAAGGCCAGAGGUGAGUAAAACCUCUGAAUGAAAAUCCAACUGAUUUGAAACAUUUUUAAGCAAAGCAUGUUUUUGUUUUUUUAAAGAAACUCAAGCCGAUGUUCACCGCAUUCAAACAGAUAACUUCUUUGAUGGUAAGAUUUAUUUUAUUUUAACCUUUAUAUCAUUUUUAACCGCCAGUAUUUCUUCAUUUUUAAACUCACAGACUUUAUCGACUUGAGUCAACCCGAAUUGGGUAAGGUUCUUUCUCUUAUGACACGUAUUCCCUUAAUGCGCCACCCGUCGCUGCUCCAAAGCAGGGGAAGCUCUCCCUCAGAAAGACGUUUCGUCAGGAUCAGUCCGUGCGUCCUCCUUGUUUCCCGAACCGGUCCAAGGCUCCAGCGGGGGACUUCAGACCUAACUCGGCCGCAGCAGCUGCCAUCCCCGGGGGACCGGGGGAAGCUGUCGGUCAAACUCAGAUGCUCCAGCAGCAGCAGCAGCAGCGACCUACCCCGAACUUUCCGACCAAACAACCCGCGCAGAAGCCGCCUCAGCCUAACCCCCAGCCUCAGCCCCUGACCUCCGCGUCUCAGACCAUCUUGCAACCCGUCAACGAGCGUCCGGCUCCGGGUAAUCCACAGCCGAUCUCCGGGGUCCAGGCCUGCGAAAGCCGAAGCGAGCGCCCGACGGGUCCGGAGAAACACGCCUACUCGGAGCUUUAGGAUCGGGUUCAAACAACGGAGGCUGCUCCGAAGAAGAGGAAAAGGGGAACCGUCGAUGCCGAAUUUAAAAAAAUACAUCGACCGCUCUCCACCACCACCCCUGAAGACAACGACGCAGGAGGAGUUUCUGAGGAUCCGGCGAGCGACGACCCGACUAGACAAAGGUUCUAUUGGCACAGUAUGAUGGCUCGUACCUUGAUGAUGAUUGUGGAAAUGGCCCAAAAAAAUAUGAAUCAUUUUGUGAGAUUGUUUGGUGUUUUUUUCCGCAUAAACUCAUAAACUCAUAAAGAAAAAAAGUAUCUUGACCUCUUUUCAUUAAAUUAUUCAGGGUGUGACUUAAAAUGGAUGAUUCUGAGAAAACCGUUGACUCUUUGGAUUCAAAGGAACCAUUAUGGGGUCUGAAUGAAUUACGGCUAAUGAGUUCUGAACUUUACGAGUCACAUUCAGCAACCCCCAGAAAUGAUUUAGAAGGUGUGACGUUUGACCCAGACCACGAAUUGACGGAUGAAGCCGGUGUUUCUGUGCCCGUUCAUUCAUUUUCCACAGAAAAUGAUGAAUCCGCGACGCGCAAACCGGAAUUUGCACUCACGCCCAUAGAAGCCUCCAGAUUUCUACGCCAACUCGCCCACCCCCUCUUUACUGGAGUUCCUGCAGAACUUGGGCGGAGAAUCAGACCCUCUCGAAAAUGCAUGUGCGCAGACACCGUCGCGAGUUUUAACGGAUGAAGAAGAUGAAAAUGAUUUUCAAAACACUUUGGAUCAUCAGUUCGAAACAGAACAGCCGUCUCCUGACCCGUCCUUCGGGUUUCAGGAAGGCUACGGGGUGGAGGAAGCGUCAGAUGGUGAUGAGCCCGUUUGCCCUUCAACCUCCACAACGCCUUCGGGUCAGACGAGGUGGGUGGUUCACGAACGCUUCAACAACGUUGAAAUUAGGAGAGUUUUUAACGUGCCUGAUCUCAGUAGGGCUCCUGAUUUAGCACAGUUUUACACAGAUGUGGUAAAUGUUUUGGCAGAGUUAGCUGAGACGGUCAGCGUGGAUGCAGAACGCGGGGAUCUCGUUCAGUUAGAACUUAUCGGCGAUCAAGUGCGUUCUCACAUCACCUUGAGAAUGGAUGAACCUGUAAGCGCAGACACUAUUCUUCAGGCUUUUGAAGAGCUUUUAGAACGGGUCAUCCAAUCUAACGCCGGCAUAGCUUCAGACGCCGAACUUCAGUUGGUCGUUCAAGUUGUGCACAACCCUAGAGGGGGUGUCAAAUGUAGGCUCGAAAAAACUUUAGAUUGUGAAAUACUGGCCAAGAAAAAGAGACAUCUUUACGACGUCGGUUUUAGGAACGACCAGCUGUGCUUUGCCAUCAACUUGGCACACCUGCUCCAUCCUGGUUGUACGGACGCUCAAGCUGCAGAGAAAGGCAGAAAGCUGCAACGUUUAGCCGGUCUGGACGAACAGACGCCCGUAACUUUAAGCGACGUGACCAAAUUUGAGAACGCUUUGAAACGUAAAAUUGUCAUUUUCUACAAAAACCCAGAUCUGAAACCUCUCUUGC